rnacentral:rRNA from 1 species
GAUGAACGCUGGCGGCGUGCCUAAUACAUGCAAGUCGAGCGAACGGACGAGAAGCUUGCUUUUCUGAUGUUAGCGGCGGACGGGUGAGUAACACGUGGAAACCUACCUAUAAGACUGGGAUAACUUCGGGAAACCGGGGCUAAUACCGGGUAAUAUUUUGAACCGCAUGGUUCAAAAGUGAAAGACGGUCUUGCUGUCACUUAUUGAUGGAUCCGCGCUGCAUUAGCUAGUUGGUAAGGUAACGGCUUACCAAGGCAACGAUGCAUAGCCGACCUGAGAGGGUGAUCGGCCACACUGGAACUGAGACACGGUCCAGACUCCUACGGGAGGCAGCAGUAGGGAAUCUUCCGCAAUGGGCGAAAGCCUGACGGAGCAACGCCGCGUGAGUGAUGAAGGUCUUCGGAUCGUAAAACUCUGUUAUUAGGGAAGAACAUAUGUGUAAGUAACUGUGCACAUCUUGACGGUACCUAAUCAGAAAGCCACGGCUAACUACGUG